GCAGCAGUGUGUAUGGGGCAGGUGGAAGUGGCAGUCAGUGCAGGGCAGAAUGGGAGUGUGUGAGAAUGGGAGGGUCUCUGAGCAGCACUCAACAAAGCUGCACUCCCUCUGCUGUAGAGACCAGAACAUUUUCUCUGUUUCACAUCUAAACAUGACUUGCAGCACUAACGUCAUUCACAUAUCCCUUUGUUCCUUACUCUUGGCUUCAUAUUUUCAAGGUGUACAAUGCAACACUCAAGUCUUCCAGACCCCAGUAAUGUUUGCUGAAGAAGGCCAGGAUAUCACAUUGAGAUGUAACCACUCUAUAAAAAACCAUGACAUUCUGGUCUGGUACAAACAGCUCCCAGGAUCAUCCCUUGAAAUCUGCGCUUCAGGGCUCCUGCAAGGCAGUAACAUUUGCCGUGUUACUAUGAGUAUAGAUAAGGAGAACUUGUCAACACAACUUUCUAUCAGCAGAGUACAGGUGGAAGAGUCAGCCCUGUAUUACUGUGCUGUGAGAGACACAAUGGCAGAAACACACAACACAGCUGUGCCAAAAGUCAUCCCCUAA